ACAAACUUGGUCAUUUAGAGGAAGUACAAGUCGUAACAAGGUAUCCGUAGGUGAACCUGCGGAUGGAUCAUUAAUGAAGUGCGCUACUGCUUACGUGUAAUGUGAACUGUUUUGACGAAAAUAUGGUCGGUGUGCUGAGCAGCCGCGACGCGCACCGACUGUACACACGUGCAAACGUAAUAUUGAAACAAACUGAUGUGCUCUCAUAUAUAUACACAGAUAUAUGUCACAACUUUUAGCAACGGAUCUCUUGGCUCUCGCAUCGAUGAAGAACGCAGC
rnacentral:misc_RNA from 1 species